CGCUGGCGGCACGCUUAACACAUGCAAGUCGAACGGAGAAUAUUGAGUUACUAGAUAUCGUAGUGGCGGACGGGUGAGUAACACGUGAGCAACCUACCUAGAGAGAGGGAUAGCUUCUGGAAACGGAUGGUAAUACCUCAUAACAUAACUGAACCGCAUGAUUUAGUUAUCAAAGAUUUAUCACUCUGAGAUGGGCUCGCGUCUGAUUAGAUAGUUGGUGAGGUAACGGCUCACCAAGUCGACGAUCAGUAGCCGGACUGAGAGGUUGAACGGCCACAUUGGGACUGAGACACGGCCCAGACUCCUACGGGAGGCAGCAGUGGGGAAUAUUGCACAAUGGGGGGAAAAACCCCUGAUGCAACGAUGCCGCGUGGAGGAAGAAGGUUUUCGGAUUGUAAACUCCUGUCUUAAAGGACGAUAAUGACGGUACUUUAGGAGGAAGCUCCGGCUAACUACGUGCCAGCAGCGGC
rnacentral:rRNA from 1 species